AAUGGUUGACCUCGGAUCAGGUAGGAAUACCCGC
rnacentral:rRNA from 1 species